rnacentral:rRNA from 1 species
GAUGAAUGCUGGCGGCGUGCCUAACACAUGCAAGUCGAGCGGUAACAGGAGUAGUUUACUACUUGCUGACGAGCGGCGGACGGCUGAGUAACGCGUGGGAACGUGCCCCAAAGUGAGGAAUAACUGCCCGAAAGGGUAGCUAAUACCGCAUAUGAUCUUCGGAUUAAAGGAUUUAUCCGCUUUGGGAGCGGCCCGCGUACGAUUAGGUAGUUGGUAGGGUAAUGGCCUACCAAGCCGACGAUCGUUAACUGGUCUUAGAGGAUGAUCAGUCAGACUGGAACUGAGACACGGUCCAGACUCCUACGGGAGGCAGCAGUGAGGAAUCUUCCACAAUGGGCGAAAGCCUGAUGGAGCAACGCCGCGUGCAGGAUGAAGGCCUUCGGGUUGUAAAGCUCUUUUGCCAGGGACGAUAAUGACGGUACCUGGAGAAUAAGCCCCGGCAAACUUCGUGCCAGCCGCCGCAGUA